rnacentral:rRNA from 1 species
AUUGAACGCUGGCGACAUGCCUUACACAUGCAAGUCGAACGGCAGCACGGGUGCUUGCACCUGGUGGCGAGUGGCGAACGGGUGAGUAAUACAUCGGAACAUGUCCUGUAGUGGGGGAUAGCCCGGCGAAAGCCGGAUUAAUACCGCAUACGAUCUACGGAUGAAAGCGGGGGACCUUCGGGCCUCGCGCUAUAGGGUUGGCCGAUGGCUGAUUAGCUAGUUGGUGGGGUAAAGGCCUACCAAGGCGACGAUCAGUAGCUGGUCUGAGAGGACGACCAGCCACACUGGGACUGAGACACGGCCCAGACUCCUACGGGAGGCCGCAGUGGGGAAUUUUGGACAAUGGGCGAAAGCCUGAUCCAGCAAUGCCGCGUGUGUGAAGAAGGCCUUCGGGUUGUAAAGCACUUUUGUCCGGAAAGAAAUCCUUGGCCCUAAUACGGUCGGGGGAUGACGGUACCGGAAGAAUAAGCACCGGCUAACUACGUG